rnacentral:misc_RNA from 1 species
GAUGAAGAACGUAGCGAAAUGCGAUAAGUAGUGUGAAUUGCAGAAUUCAGUGAAUCAUCGAAUCUUUGAACGCACAUUGCGCCCUUUGGUAUUCCAAUGGGCAUGCCUGUUCGAGCGUCAUUUGUACCCUCAAGCUUUGCUUGGUGUUGGGCGUCUUGUCUCUAGCUUUGCUGGAGACUCGCCUUAAAGUAAUUGGCAGCCGGCCUACUGGUUUCGGAGCGCAGCACAAGUCGCACUCUCUAUCAGCAAAGGUCUAGCAUCCAUUAAGCCUUUUUUUCAACUUUUGACCUCGGAUCAGGUAGGGAUACCCGCUGAACUUAAGCAUAUCAAUAAGCGGAGGA